GACGAACGCUGGCGGCGUGCCUAAUACAUGCAAGUUGAGCGCUGAAGGUUGGUACUUGUACCGACUGGAUGAGCAGCGAACGGGUGAGUAACGCGUGGGGAAUCUGCCUUUGAGCGGGGGACAACAUUUGGAAACGAAUGCUAAUACCGCAUAAAAACUUUAAACACAAGUUUUAAGUUUGAAAGAUGCAAUUGCAUCACUCAAAGAUGAUCCCGCGUUGUAUUAGCUAGUUGGUGAGGUAAAGGCUCACCAAGGCGAUGAUACAUAGCCGACCUGAGAGGGUGAUCGGCCACAUUGGGACUGAGACACGGCCCAAACUCCUACGGGAGGCAGCAGUAGGGAAUCUUCGGCAAUGGACGAAAGUCUGACCGAGCAACGCCGCGUGAGUGAAGAAGGUUUUCGGAUCGUAAAACUCUGUUGGUGGAGAAGAACGUUGGUGAGAGUGGAAAGCUCAUCAAGUGACGGUAACUACCCAGAAAGGGACGGCUAACUACGU
rnacentral:rRNA from 1 species